GUCUGUAAAACACUCCUUUGUCUACCACAUCAGUGUCUUCUAAAAUCAAAAUCGGAAGCAGAAUAAAACAGUCUCCUCAUAAAAGCUGGCGUAUCAGUGCGCUGCAACAUUGAAAACAUAUGAUUCGAUUCGCGGCUUCUGAUUGGUUCUCGGGAUAUAGCGGCUUUUGCUGUCAAAGGUGAUGGGCUCACUGAUGCUGGUCUGGACUCUGUCUGCCGCAGUUAUUCUGAUUAUCAUCAUCGUUGCCAGCCGGCCCAGUCCUGUUUUGCCUACGUUUCUUAAUGGAGCAAUUUCCAUACACUUCAAGACUGGACGACUUCUUCACGUUGCUCUUGGGCAAACUCUUGUUUUGGAGGCCGUAAUUGAAAAAAAUCCAGACGACAAGAUUGACAUGGUGACUUGGGAUCGUGAAAGCAAAGGUGUAAACGUCAGACUAUCCGGGACUCAAGGAGGCCGAAUAUCUUUGGAGAAAGGAGAUGCGCUUCUGCGGAUCACUAAUGUUUCUGAGGAAGACUUUGGUGUCUAUAAAGUCACUGUUACUGACAGUAAUGGAUACCAGCAGUAUGACAUCAUAGAAGUCCGGAAGAUAGUGAAGCCUCCGAGGGCGUUGGCCAAACGGGUGCUGGAAUGUGUUUUGGAAAAACACGACAUGCUGCAGUGGGACACCCCCCAAUUCUCGUGGAUGAUUGAUGGCAUUACAGUAACCAAUGAAACCACCCUGAUAGCCAAUGGUAGUAGACUUGAUAUCUCAGAGGUCAAGGGUGUGAACUACACCUGCGUCAUUAAGAGCAGUCUAGGAACGGUGAUGACGCAUUAUGAAAUACCAAAAGACUCUGCCCAUCAUCCCUGUUGCAACGGAUUGAUUGCAGUUGGAAUUAUAAUUGCAGCAUUAGUAGCAGCUCUGACCGGGUUUUUUGUUUGGAAAAAAACAACAGCCCAGCCGUACUGAUGCAUCCACUCACAAAGAGAUGACUUAAAUUUAAUUUCAAUUUAUUACUUUUACGAGAAUUGUAUAUACUUGCAUUGGUUUGUUUGUUUGUUUGUUUGUUUGUUUGUUUGUUUGUUUGUUUGUUUGUUUGUUUGAGUAUUUGCACUUUUAUAUUAUGACUGUAGAUAUGUGUAGCUCAGUUUUCAGUUUAAGGUUUAAAGGUUCUCAGGGAAAAUACUUCAUUGCUCUUGGUCUUUCCCCUUGUUUUUAUUAGCAUUUAAGUCAGCAAAUUCAGAUUUAAGUCAGCUUCAACAUAAGCUGCUGAAAGAAUAUGCUUUUGUUUAUUGUAAUGAAUAAUUUGUACUGUUCAUUAAGUUAAACUUAGUUGUCCUGUUUACAACAAUGUAAAUUAUAUUAUUUGUUCUGCAUAUUCUGCUGUUGUUCAAGUUUAUAUGAAAAACUUUUUUGAAACUGCAGUUGUGUGUGUGAGUGUGUGUUUGAUGCUGAAGGGUUUUCUCCAUAAGGAAGAUCUGCUUGUUGAAACAGAGAAUAGUGGCUUUACUCCACAGGAAAGGGAAAAAGGAAACAGCUCAGUUUGGUCAACGCCUAAAGACCUUUUUACUUGGUCAGUGGAGUUCACAGAUACAACAGAGCUGAGCUUCACAAACAACACGUGUGCGUGUGUGUGCUUUGGGAAAGCCUCGCUCCUGUGUUUAAUGGGAUUGAGCAUUCUGGACACUAGCGUCUGUUUCAGGAGGUUAUCAGAGGAAUCAUGGAGCCGCGGCUACAGAGAUUUACCGCUGUUUUGCUGCUUUUUAAAGUCUGCUGUCUGUGGAGCGCUAAGUGUUUGUCUGUUCACUUCUCGAACCCUCAGCCUGUGUAUGUGAUCAGAGGUCAGCAUCUGCUCCUACAGGCUCAAAUCCAGCGGCUGGACACUGAACACGUGUUUAAAGUCAUCUGGGAGAGAAGUGAAAAGGCUUCUGGGAAAAGAUCAACGCUGGCUGAGUUUCCUCUGAAAGAGUCUGACGGACGAGUGAGUUUGGAGAAUCAGGGAGCGACGCUGCGGAUCAGAGAUUAUCAGUCAGCAGACGCCGGACUUUACACUGUUACUGUCACUGAUACUGCUGGACAGAGACGAUUCGCACAGACGACCGUUCAGGAAUAUCUGGCUGUGCAUCACGUGUCGGUGAUGUUGAAUGUGUCUCACUCUAUCCUGCACUGUAUGGAGUCGUGGGGAACCGAGCCGUCCUACACGUGGCUUCAUGACAGUGUUCCGCUGACGGAGAAACUGGGUCGUGUUUCCAGUGAUGGAGCGUCUCUGCAGGUCUCGGGCAGCUUCUGUGGACGCUUCACCUGCGUGGUGAGCAACAGACUGGGCCACAGUUCAGCCUCAUACACCGCAGAGCCGUGUGAUAAUUCAAACCGGAGUACGACGACUGCUAUUGUGCUUCUGCUGCACUUGCUGACCGUAGUAGCUGCAUCUCUGGCCUUUAUACUGUGGAGGAGACGCAGACAUGGAGCGAACAGACCACAGAGACUGAGAGAACCCUAUGAAGAGCACCUGUGAGCCUCGCGCUGAUCUCAGACCUGCCAAUCUGACGAAAAUAACACCACUAAUCAACCGUUUCUGUGUAUUAUUGCACAUUUCUAGAAGAUAUUUAUAAUAUUAGUGUAUUUAUAUAGCACAUCAGGGGGUUUAGCUAAUACAUUGCAUUCUCAAACACUAGAUUCUGAUUGGUCGGAUGUGACAUUCUGGUGUUAAUAUGAUCAUCAACAAACUCAGUGUUUUUUGUUAUUAUUAAAAUUACAGCAUUUUUGUUAUUAUUUACAUUAAAAAUGUAAAAUCGGAAAUCUUUUCAAUUUAUUAGUAAGUAAAUACACAGAUAUUUACAGUG